rnacentral:rRNA from 1 species
GACGAACGCUGGCGGCGUGCUUAACACAUGCAAGUCGAGCGGAAAGGCCACUUCGGUGGUACUCGAGCGGCGAACGGGUGAGUAACACGUGAGUAAUCUGCCCCUCACUUUGGGAUAGCCACCGGAAACGGUGAUUAAUACCGGAUAUGACCAUAUGUCGCAUGGCGUGUGGUGGAAAGUUUUUCGGUGAGGGAUGUGCUCGCGGCCUAUCAGCUUGAUGGUGAGGUAAUGGCUCACCAUGGCUUCGACGGGUAGCCGGCCUGAGAGGGUGACCGGUCACACUGGGACUGAGACACGGCCCAGACUCCUACGGGAGGCAGCAGUGGGGAAUAUUGGACAAUGGGCGGAAGCCUGAUCCAGCAACGCCGCGUGAGGGAUGACGGCCUUCGGGUUGUAAACCUCUUUCAGUACCGACGAAGCGAAAGUGACGGUAGGUAAAGAAGAAGCACCGGCCAACUACGUG